rnacentral:rRNA from 1 species
AUGACCCUCACUUGGCUAUGGGUUAUUGUCCACUACAUAUUCUAUGCCCAUCUUGCCAUGUUCACUUUGCAUGUUAUGUUCAUUACUAUGCUUUUGCCAUGCAUUCGUGACCCAUGCUUUGCAUUACACAUGAUGAUUGAUUCUCAUACAUGUAUGUGUAUUUGCAAGCUUGGUGGAGACAUUGCUUGUUAUUGCCAUGUUUGCUUUGUGCCCCAUGCCUAUGAUGAUACUAUGAUCUUGCUUUGUGUUCGUGCUUGCGAUAUAUCAUCUACAUUGCCUAUGACUAUUAUUUGCUCACAUGGCAUGAUUGGCAUGCUUUCUGCUAAUAUGUUGCAUCUUCGCACUACUAGCUUGCACGACUCGAUUACUAUGCUUGACUUGAUUGCCUGA